rnacentral:rRNA from 1 species
GAUGAACGCUAGCGGCAGGCUUAAUACAUGCAAGUCGUGGGGCAGCAUGAAUGUAGCAAUACAUUUGAUGGCGACCGGCAAACGGGUGCGGAACACGUACACAACCUUCCUAUAAGUGGGGAAUAGCCCAGAGAAAUUUGGAUUAAUACCCCGUAACAUAACGAUGUGGCAUCACAUUGUUAUUAUAGCCUCGGUGCUUAUUGAUGGGUGUGCGGCUGAUUAGAUAGUUGGCGGGGUAACGGCCCACCAAGUCUACGAUUAGUAGCUGAUGUGAGAGCAUGAUCAGCCACACGGGCACUGAGACACGGGCCCGACUCCUACGGGAGGCAGCAGUAAGGAAUAUUGGUCAAUGGACGCAAGUCUGAACCAGCCAUGCCGCGUGAAGGAUUAAGGUCCUCUGGAUUGUAAACUUCUUUUAUCUGGGACGAAAAAAGGCUUUUCUAAGUCACUUGACGGUACCAGAUGAAUAAGCACCGGCUAACUCCGUGCCAGCCGCCGCGGUAAAAC